GUGCCAGCCGCCGCGGUAAUACGAGGGGGGCAAAUGUUGUUCGGAAUCACUGGGCGUAAAGGGAGCGUAGGCGGGUGUUUAAGUUAGGUGUUUAAUCCCGGGGCCCAACCCCGGUCGUGCACCUAAAACUGGGCAUCUUGAAUAGUGGAGAGGUCAGUGGAAUUGGGGGUGUAGCGGUGGAAUGCGUAGAGAUCCCCAAGAACACCAGUUGCGAAGGCGGCUGACUGGACACAUAUUGACGCUGAGGCUCGAAAGCAUGGGGAGCAAACAGGAUUAGAAACCCUAGUAGUCC
rnacentral:rRNA from 1 species